rnacentral:rRNA from 1 species
UACGGGGGGGGCAAGCGUUGUUCGGAAUUACUGGGCGUAAAGGGCUCGUAGGCGGCCAACUAAGUCAGACGUGAAAUCCCUCGGCUUAACCGGGGAACUGCAUCUGAUACUGGAUGGCUUGAGAUUGGGAGAGGGAUGCGGAAUUCCUGGUGUAGCGGUGAAAUGCGUAGAUAUCAGGAGGAACACCGGUGGCGAAGGCGGCUCUCUGGACCACAACUGACGCUGAGGCGCGAAAGCUAGGGGAGCAAACAGG